rnacentral:snoRNA from 1 species
CCCUACAAAGGUGUGUCUGUGGUUUCCUGUCCUUGGACAUGUAAGAAUUGGAUUCAAAGAGAUUUAGACUUGGAGAAGUCUGGAGCCAGCUUGCUCCCCACAGGCUUGAAAUCACCCCUUCCCACACAG